rnacentral:rRNA from 1 species
GGGUAUGUUAAUAGCAUACUCACUUUGACGUUAGCUGCAGAAGAAGCACCGGCUAACUCCGUGCCAGCAGGCCGCGGUAAUACGGAGGGUGCGAGCGUUAAUCGGAAUUACUGGGCGUAAAGCGCAUGCAGGUGGUUUGUUAAGUCAGAUGUGAAAGCCCCGGGGCUCAACCUCGGAAUUGCAUUUGAAACUGGCAAACUAGAGUACUGUAGAGGGGGUAGAAUUUCAGGUGUAGCGGUGAAAUGCGUAGAGAUCUGAAGGAAUACCCGGUGGCGAAGGCGGCCCCCUGGACAGAUACUGACACUCAGAUGCGAAAGCGUGGGGAGCAAACAGGAUUAGAUACCCUGGUAG